rnacentral:rRNA from 1 species
AUUGAACGCUGGCGGCAUGCUUUACACAUGCAAGUCGAACGGUAACAGGCCGCAAGGUGCUGACGAGUGGCGAACGGGUGAGUAAUGCAUCGGAACGUGCCCCGUCGUGGGGGAUAACUACUCGAAAGAGUAGCUAAUACCGCAUACGAUCUAUGGGUGAAAGCGGGGGACCGUAAGGCCUCGCGCGAUUGGAGCGGCCGAUGUCAGAUUAGGUAGUUGGUGGGGUAAAGGCUCACCAAGCCAACGAUCUGUAGCUGGUCUGAGAGGACGACCAGCCACACUGGGACUGAGACACGGCCCAGACUCCUACGGGAGGCAGCAGUGGGGAAUUUUGGACAAUGGGCGCAAGCCUGAUCCAGCAAUGCCGCGUGCAGGAAGAAGGCCUUCGGGUUGUAAACUGCUUUUGUACGGAACGAAACGGCUCUGGUUAAUACCCGGGGCUAAUGACGGUACCGUAAGAAUAAGCACCGGCUAACUACGUG